ensembl:lncRNA
GGGGACUUUACCUUUGUCCAGGGAAGACUAAGACUUCACCUUCCAAUGCAGAGGGUACAGGUUCAAUCCCUGGUUGGGGAGCUAAGAUCCCCCAUGUCUCACAGCCAAAAAACCAAAACAUAAAACAGAAGCAAUAUUGUAACAGUUUCAAUAAAGACUUAAAAAAAGAAUCCACCUACCAAUACAGGAGAUGCUGGAGACUCUGGUUCAGUCCCUGGGUUGAGACGAUCUCCCGGAGGAGGAAAUGGCAACCCACUCUAGUAUUCUUGCCUGGGAAAUCCCAUAGACAGAGGAAUCUGUUGCGCAGUCAUGGCUGACUCUUUGCGACCCCAUGGACUAUAGCCCGCCAGGCUCCUCUGUCUGUGGGAUUCUCCAGGCAGGAACACUGGAGUGGGUAGCCUAUCCUUUCUCCAGGAGAUCUCCCUGACCCAGAAAUCGAACUGGGGUCUUCUGCACUGCAGGUGGAUUCUUUACCAGCUGAGUUACCAGGGAAGCCCCUCUUUGUAUUGUACUUAACUUUUAUUUAAAACUUUUUGAAUGUUUCGAAAUAAAAAAGAAAAGUACUUACACUAUUUGAAAGAUAAAUGUGUUAUAAAUAUAAU